rnacentral:lncRNA from 1 species
CAAAUAUCAAGAUCAUGUAACUCUACAAUUAGAGCUAGCUUCUCACAUACAGAGCUUAGUAGAAUUGGCUCCCUUCUAUACAACAAUUGAUAAAGACUACAAGAUUUCAAAGAUGCUUAUUGUGAUUGUCGUUUUACUUAUUCCAAAAGAAACCUCUCAAAAUAAAUUUGUAUAGGAGAAUUCGAACACAAGGAAAGACUAAGCGCAUGAAUUUUACUUGUUAGGGUCACACAAUUAACUAUAUUCUAAACCACUAAAAUACUAAGAAACACUACAAUGCUUCCUUCUAGUAACAAUACUCCUUCAUCAACUGAUAACCACAAUGUGCAACCAUGCACUCUCAAAAGACCGCUCAAAAUUUAAUAAAUUCCAUCCAACACCAAGAAUAACAGACUUCACUCCAACCUAUCUGAAUUCACAAAAUUCCUGUAAUCACAAACUUCUUCUAUCGAAACACAUACACACAACUUUCAAUAAACAACAAUCAUAAUCUUCCAUCCAUAUUCAAUCUCCUAAUAACUUCUCAUAUAAUUCAAUCACUCAGUACUCCAAUUACAUAAUCAAUAACUCAUAAAUCAAUCUCUGAUUUAUUCCACAGAUUCACUUCUCAAUAUUUAGAAACUAACCAUUAUUCUUCAACAACAAAUAAAACAAAAGAAACAAAGAGGAAGCACCAAGCUUAACCCCAGCUCAUGACUAUCACAGUCUGGCAUUUUCUUCCUCCCUUCCAUCUUCUUUAUACUACCCCAAGAUGCCAACUCCUAUACUAUGGAUGAUAACUACUUUUUUUGACUAUUCAUCCAUUGUACCUGCUGAACCACCUUUUCAGCAGUCAUCUAUCCCUGUUUACACUAUACACUAGGUAUCUACAUUUUGAAAAUAACUACUUAUUCUACAUAGUCCCACUCCUAACUGUGCACCAUCCUCGCAAAUAUCUAAUCUGAAGCUGAACUAGUUACUCCUCAGCAUUAUCCGUACUUGAAUCCACUGAUUCCAAUUCUAAAGGCACAUCAUCGUCCUCUUGGUCCAAUAUAUUUAUUGAUACUAUGAUCAAUCUGGCAGUUAAAUCUUUGUUACGUGCACCCAAUUCUCGCGCUUGGCUUUCCAAUUGCAGAAUUCAGAUAUCUUUUGCCUGUAAUUGGUGUUGCUGUUGCUUCACAUUCUUUUCC